rnacentral:rRNA from 1 species
AGAGUUUGAUUCUGGCUCAGGAUGAACGCUAGCUACAGGCUUAACACAUGCAAGUCGAGGGGCAGCAUUGGAGUAGCAAUACUUCAGAUGGCGACCGGCGCACGGGUGAGUAACACGUAUCCAACCUGCCGCUUACUCGGGGAUAGCCUUUCGAAAGAAAGAUUAAUACCCGAUGGUAUAAAGAGUUCGCAUGUUCUCUUUAUUAAAGAAUUUCGGUAAGCGAUGGGGAUGCGUUCCAUUAGAUAGUUGGCGGGGUAACGGCCCACCAAGUCUACGAUGGAUAGGGGUUCUGAGAGGAAGGUCCCCCACAUUGGAACUGAGACACGGUCCAAACUCCUACGGGAGGCAGCAGUGAGGAAUAUUGGUCAAUGGACGCGAGUCUGAACCAGCCAAAGUAGCGUGAAGGAUGACUGCCCUAUGGGUUGUAAACUUCUUUUAUAAGGGAAUAAAGUGAGGGACGUGUCCCUUUUUGUAUGUACCUUAUGAAUAAGGAUCGGCUAACUCCGUGCCAGCCGCCGC